rnacentral:rRNA from 1 species
GAUGAACGCUGGCGGCGUGCCUAAUACAUGCAAGUCGGACGGAUGUAGCAAUACAUUAGUGGCGAACGGGUGAGUAACACGUAGGUGACCUGCCCUAAAGAGGGGAAUACCACUUCGAAAGGAGUGACAAAACCGCAUAAACUUAUAGAGAUCAGAAGGCUAUAAGGAAAAGAGCGAUCUACUUUAGGAGGGGCCUGCGGCCCAUCAGCUAGUUGGUAGAGGUAACGGCCUACCAAGGCGAAGACGGGUAGGGGACCUGAGAGGGUGAUCCCCCACAAUGGAACUGAAACACGGUCCAUACACCUGCGGGUGGCAGCAGUAGGGAAUAUUGCUUAAUGGGCGAAAGCCUGAAGCAGCAACGCCGCGUGGACGAAGAAGGCCUUCGGGUUGUAAAGUUCUUUUAUAUGGGAUGAGGAAGGACAGUACCAUAUGAAUAAGUCUCGGCUAACUACGUGCCAGCAGCCGCCGUAAAGUAAACGUACGUACGUCGUCGUAGACGGCGGCGUCGGACGAACGGCGACUAGU